GUCACGCGAGCCUACUUGAGAAAAACACGCUGUCUCUUUAGCCCCGCCCCGCGCUCUGCAUUCCGGGAAGCGUAGUUCCGGCCUUCCUUUUUCCGCUGGAGGUAAUGAAAGGGAGGAUGAGAACCGUUCGUUAUCUCUUUCUGUGGUUGCGCCCCUAAUCAGGUCCAGGAUUCGAGUUUGUGUUCUUUCGUUUCAAUGCCUUUUAAAGCGCAUUCCUUUGCCUAAGAUCUAGCUUCUCAAUGGCGUUUCUAUAGCCUCCCCACGCCCCAGCCAUCCUCCGUAGAAGGGUCCCUGUCGCAGUGCGGGGCCCAAGGGAGGUGGGCUCUGACGUUUCUGCUCGCAGUGCUGGGAACAGCCUUUAAACUCCAGUGACCCUCAGUCCUCUGCCUUUGUUUUGGGAUAAAUGAAUUCAAGCAUUCUUCAGUCAAUUCGAUUUAUUCAAGAGAGCAGGAACACAUUUUCUCUAUGCUAACACUGAAGUGGGCAAUUAAAAACAAAGAAAAAAAAAGAAAUUAAAAAGAAAACCCUUACCUCUAUCUUCAAGUGAGGUUUAAGUGGCCAGAAUUCACCUUAUGGACAAGUCCUGUAACGUGACAGCCAUUUUAGGACACUUGUGACAUGAACUGUUCAGGUUCUAGUCUGCAGUAGGAUUUUUCUCAUAUCUUGGUCACUGGUCGCAUUUAAUGGCUUCUCUGAGAGUGGUUUUGCCAUUUUUGCUGUUAGAGCUCACGACAAGGAGAUGGAAAAAUUAAAUGAAAUAAUAGUUUCAGACUUUGAAACUAUGCAGAGGAACACUGAUCUCUGAGAGAAGGAGUUAAACCAGUCAAAACCCCAGAUAAGAUGACACAUUUCCGUAGUUUGCAAACUUACCCAUGAAUGUAGGAGAUCCAUAUCUGAGCAGGAAGACUUGAGACGUGUGUGGCGAACACAAGAGGAGCAGUGGCCCCAGGGUCCAACCUCGGCUAUUUGGAAAUCAACAUAUGUCCAGAGAGGGUUUUCAGGAAAAGGCUUCCAGUGAUGCCAUAUGCCUCUCUCCAGAGCUUCAGACUCACAUAUCCAACUAUGUAUUUAAAACAAUUUUUAAGCACAAUCAGUACUGACCUCUAGACCUGUGCCCCAAAUAUGAUGUUCAUACAGUCUUCUUCAACUCAGUGAAGGCCAUCUUCAUCCACCCAGUGCACAUUCUGUAAUGAAGAGUUUGGUCUAUUCUAUCACCAAAAUGUAUUUUAAAUGUUUCUUUUUCUCCAUCUCCGUUGUUACCAAUCUAGUUUAAUUUUCUUUCAUUGAAACUAUUGUCAAGUCUCUAAGUGGUUUUCUUUUCACUUUUGUCUUUCUAAUUUAUAGUCUUCUUUGAAAGAUGUACAUUUCCAAUAAAAUGGUAA